CCCUACGGGAGGCAGCAGUGGGGAAUCUUGCGCAAUGGCCUAACGGCUGACGCAGCGACGCCGCGUGUGGGAGGACGCCCUUCGGGGUGUAAACCACUGUUGCCCGGGACGAACCUCCUCUUUCGAGAGGACUGACGGUACCGGGUGAGGAAGCACCGGCUAACUCCGUGCCAGCAGCCGCGGUAAUACGGAGGGUGCGAGCGUUGUCCGGAAUCACUGGGCGUAAAGGGCGCGUAGGCGGCGCGAGCAGUCUGUGGUGAAAGCCCGUGGCUCAACUGCGGGUCGGCCAUGGAUACUCUCGAGCUGGAGCACUGUAGAGGCAGAUGGAAUUCCGGGUGUAGCGGUGGAAUGCGUAGAGAUCCGGAAGAACACCGGUGGCGAAGGCGGUCUGCUGGGCAGUGCCCGAAAGGGCUUAAAGCUGACGCUGAGGCGCGACAGCGUGGGGAGCAAACAGGAUUAGAUACCCCGGUAGC
rnacentral:rRNA from 1 species